rnacentral:rRNA from 1 species
AUUGAACGCUGGCGGCAGGCCUAACACAUGCAAGUCGAACGAGUGGCGGACGUGUGAGUAACGUCUGGGAAACUGCCCGAUGGAUGGGGAUAACUACUGGAAACGGUAGCUAAUACCGCAUACCAUCGGAUGUGCCCAGAUGGGAUUGGCGAGUAGGUGGGGUAACGGCUCACCUAGGCGACGAUCCCUAGCUGGUCUGCGAGGAUGAACAGCCACACUGGAACUGCGACACGGUCCAGACUCCUACGGGAGGCAGCAGUGGGGAAUAGUGCACAAUGGGCGCAAGCCUGAUGCAGCCAUGCCGCGUGUAUGAAGAAGGCCUUCGGGUUGUAAAGUACUUUCAGCAGGGAGGCGUUACCCACAGAAGAAGCACCGGCUAACGCCGUGCCAGCAGCCGCGGUAAUAC